rnacentral:rRNA from 1 species
UACGAAGGGGGCUAGCGUUGUUCGGAAUUACUGGGCGUAAAGCGCGCGUAGGCGGAUUGUUAAGUCAGGGGUGAAAUCCCGAGGCUCAACCUCGGAACUGCCUCUGAUACUGGCGAUCUUGAGUCCGGGAGAGGUGAGUGGAAUUCCUAGUGUAGAGGUGAAAUUCGUAGAUAUUAGGAAGAACACCAGUGGCGAAGGCGGCUCACUGGCCCGGUACUGACGCUCAUGUGCGAAAGCGUGGGGAGCAAACAGG